GUAUAAUCUGCUCAAUGAAAAUUAAAUAGCCGCAAUUUCGUGCUAAGGUAGCAUAAUCAUUUGUCUUUUAAAUAAAGACUAGAACAAAAGAUUUUACAUUUUAGUUUAUUUCUUUAUAAAUACUUCAAACUUAUCUUAAAAGUAAAAAGACUUUUAUAUAAAAGAUAGACGACAAGACCCUAUUGAACUUAACUUAAGUUGAACUGGGGCAGUUACUUAAUUAUUAUUUUAAUUUAAAUAUUAUUUAAAAGAUCCAAUUAAAUGAUAAUCCAGUUACCAUAGGGAUAACAGCAUAAUUAUUUUCCAAAGACCUCAUCUAAAAAAUAGAUUAUGACCUCGAUGUUGAAUUAAUAACCUAACUAAAGCAAAAUUUAAACAAGGAAGUCUGUUCGACUUUUAAAAAAUUACAUGAUUUGAGUUCAGACCGGUGUAAGCCAGGUCGGUUUCCAUCUUCUAUAAAGUUUUUUGUAGUACGAAAGGACCUAAAAAUAUUUUAUCCUAAAUUGGCAGAUUAAUGCAUUAGACUUAGAUUCUAAUUAAACUUCAAUUACUUUUAUUUCUAAUUAUAUUUUAAUUAUCAUUAGAAUCUUAAUUAGAGUGGCCUUUUACACUAUCCUAGAACGAAAAAUUUUAGGAUAUAUACAAAACCGAAAAGGCCCUAACAAAGUGGGAUUUUUAGGAAUUCUCCAACCUUUUAGAGAUGCCCUUAAACUCUUCAAUAAAAAUUUAAUAUCCUCUGAAAAUAUAAAUUUAACCAUAUCUUAUAUAACUCCAGCCCUAUCCUUAUUUAUUAGAAUAAUAUUAAUUCCAAUCAUUUCAUUCA
rnacentral:rRNA from 1 species